ACUCCUACGGGAGGCAGCAGUGGGGAAUCUUGCGCAAUGCGCGAAAGCGUGACGCAGCAACGCCGCGUGGGGGAAGAAGGCCUUCGGGUUGUAAACCCCUUUCAGGAGGGACGAAGGUCGGGCGGUGAAUAGCCGACCCGACUGACGGUACCUCCAGAAGAAGCCCCGGCUAACUACGUGCCAGCAGCCGCGGUAAUACGUAGGGGGCAAGCGUUGUCCGGAAUUAUUGGGCGUAAAGAGCGUGUAGGCGGUCCGGUAAGUCGGCUGUGAAAGUCCAGGGCUCAACCCUGGGAUGCCGGUCGAUACUGCCGGACUAGAGUUCGGAAGAGGCGUGUGGAAUUCCCGGUGUAGCGGUGAAAUGCGCAGAUAUCGGGAGGAACACCUAUGGCGAAGGCAGCUCGCUGGGACGUUACUGACGCUGAGACGCGAAAGCGUGGGGAGCAAACAGGAUUAGAUACCCUGGUAGUCCACGCCGUAAACGAUGGGCACUAGGUGUGGGAGGUGUCGACUCCUCCCGUGCCGGAGCUAACGCAUUAAGUGCCCCSCCUGGRGRGUACGGCCGCAAGGCUAAAACUCAAAGGAAWUGACRSGCGWMA
rnacentral:rRNA from 1 species